rnacentral:rRNA from 1 species
AUUGAACGCUGGCGGCAGGCCUAACACAUGCAAGUCGAACGGUAACAGGAAGAAGCCUGCUUCUUUCCUGAGGCGUGGCGGAAGGGUGAGUUAUGUCUGUGAAACUGCCUGAUGGAGGGGGAUAACUACUGGAAACGGUUGCUACAACCGCACAACGUCGCAAGACGAAAGAGCGGGGGAUCUGGGGCUCUUGCCUUCGGCUGUGCCCAGAUGGGAUUAGCUAGUAGGUGGGGUAACGGCUCACCUAGGCGACGAUCCGUAGCUGGUCUGAGAGGAUGACCAGCCACACUGGAACUGAGACACGGUCCAGACUCCUACGGGAGGCAGCAGUGGGGAAUAUUGGACAAUGGGCGCAAGCCUGAUGCAGCCAUGCCGCGUGUAUGAAGAAGGCCUUCGGGUUGUAAAGUACUUUCAGCGGGGAGGAAGGGAAGAAAGUUAAUACCUUGGCUCAUUGACGUUACCCGCAGAAUAAGCACCGGCUAACUCCGUG